AGCGGAGGAAAAGAAACUAACAAGGAUUCCCCUAGUAGCGGCGAGCGAAGCGGGAAGAGCUCAAAUUUAUAAUCUGGCACCUUCGGUGUCCGAGUUGUAAUCUCUAGAAGUGUUUUCCGCGUUGGACCGCACACAAGUCUGUUGGAAUACAGCGGCAUAGUGGUGAGACCCCCGUAUAUGGUGCGGACGCCCAACGCUUUGUGAUACACUUUCGAAGAGUCGAGUUGUUUGGGAAUGCAGCUCAAAUUGGGUGGUAAAUUCCAUCUAAAGCUAAAUAUUGGCGAGAGACCGAUAGCGAACAAGUACCGUGAGGGAAAGAUGAAAAGCACUUUGGAAAGAGAGUUAACAGUACGUGAAAUUGUUGGAAGGGAAACGCUUGAAGUCAGACUUGCUUGCCGAGCAAUCGGUUUGCAGGCCAGCAUCAGUUUUCUGGGGUGGAUAAUGGUAGAGAGAAGGUAGCAGUUUCGGCUGUGUUAUAGCUCUCUACUGGAUACACCUUGGGGGACUGAGGAACGCAGUGUGCCUUACGGCGGAUUUCUCGAGAUCUUCACACUUAGGAUGCUGGUGGAAUGGCUUUAAACGACCCGUCUUGA
rnacentral:rRNA from 1 species